UCCGACGAGAAUAGCUUUGAAUCCGACGGUGGUGAUGCUCCCAGCCAUGGUAUAAAUAGCACAGUCGGUCGAAGGUUAAAAGGCGCCGAAGAAGAAAAUUGUAUCACGGCGAUGAAGAAAAGAAAUCGAGCAAUAGAUUAAACGCUAUCGUUUUCAAUUUGCUUUGUCCACAUAAGAAAAAAAAAGCUGACAUGUAUUAAUUGUUUUAAUUUGAUAGGCUAGCCAUUUUAAUUGAUGUGUCAUUUUCUCCUUCAAUACAAAAUCUGAUGUGUCAAGCAAGGAGAGCAACACAUUGAAGUUUUAUU